GGUAGGGUGGCUUGAUGCAUAGAGCACUGACUGGAACUCAGGAAACCUGGGUUCUGUUCCCAGCUGUACUA
rnacentral:tRNA from 1 species